rnacentral:rRNA from 1 species
CCUACGGGGGGCUGCAGUGAGGAAUAUUGGUCAAUGGGCUUACGCCUGAACCAGCCAAGUCGCGUGAGGGAAGACUGCCCUAUGGGUUGUAAACCUCUUUUGUCAGGGAGCAACGCCGGCUACGUGUAGCCGGACUGAGAGUACCUGAAGAAAAAGCAUCGGCUAACUCCGUGCCAGCAGCCGCGGUAAUACGUAGGUGGCAAGCGUUGUUCGGAAUAACUGGGCGUAAAGGAUGCGUAGGCGGUUAAACAAGUUAUAUGUUAAAUAUAUAGGCUUAACCUGUAGAAAGCAUAUAAAACUGUUUAACUAGAGUGCAGGAGAGGUAAGUGGAAUUCCUAGUGUAGCGGUGAAAUGCGUAGAGAUUAGGAAGAACACCAGUGGCGAAGGCGACUUACUGGACUGUAACUGACGCUGAGGCAUGAGAGCAUGGGGAGCAAACAGGAUUAGAUACCCUAGUAGUC